AUGGCGCCGCCGCAGCCGCCGCUGGCCUCUAUCCCCGUCCCCGACGACCUCCUGGAGGAGAUCUUCCUCCGCCUGCCCACCCCGGACGCGCUCGCCCGCGCCUCCGCCGCCUGCACCUCCUUCCGUCGCGUCAUCAAAGGUCGCGCCUUCCGCCGCCGCUUCCGCGCGCUGCACCGGCCUCCCCUCCUCGGCUUCAUGGACGCGGCGGGAUUCCACCCCGCCCAGGCGCCCCACCCCUCCGCCCCGCUCGCCGGCGCCCUCGCCCCCUGCGCCGCCGAUUUCUCCUUCGUCCCGGCCGUCGUUUCUUCUUCCUCCUACUACUUCCCGCCGGGCGUCCAAGACGACAGGGAAGGCCCCCGCUGGCGCCCCCCGCGACGUCCGCGGUGGCCGCGUCCUCCUCGAUUGGAUCUCCCUCCACCCCCGCACCGUGCGCAUUAG
rnacentral:rRNA from 1 species